AACAAGUUUGAGGCGGAGCAGAAAGGCGAGUUUGGUAUCGGUUCCGGUCCAUGUACUCGUUUCUUUGAGUUGAGAGGGAUCUUGGUACCAUGGCCGGUACCAUAAGGGAUCUUGUUUGAUCUAUGUUUAUUUGUUUCUUGGUGUUUUAGGUAGCUAUUGGUUGUUAAUUUUUUGCAAUGUUCAUACUGGGAUUUGUUUGAUGCACGUUAAUCAUCACCUUAUGUGCUAACGUACCCAAUAAGAUUGACAUGUACCAUUGGUACAUGAUGAGAUACUGAGUUUUCACAAAUGUUUGUGGCACGAUGUUUCCUGGUACAAGAUGUACACAGUCUUGGUAUUGAUGAGUUACUUAAAAAUUGUUAAUGUGCAUAUCAUGUAUCAUACUAUACCUUUGAUGUACCUGUCAUGUACUGCUUCACGUACUAUAAUUUGAUAAAGUACUUGGUCAUGUACCUGGAUGUACUUAAAAUGUGCCGGUACAAAAGUGAGGAGAAAAAUGUGGUAGCACAUCGCAUGCCAAAAAAUGUCAGCCUGUCACACGCGAAAAGUCAGAGAGAGAGAGAGAAUGAGAAAAAAAAAAGACACAAAAGAGAGAGAUAAACAAAGGGAGAAAAGUUAUCAGUGGUCACAAGAGAGAGACACAAGCGGUACUACGGUCUCGGCUUUAGUGCAUCGCUUGCUUGUUGCUACUGCCUAGCGACCGGCUAGUUCAACUAGCUUCCUUUCUUCCUUAGCCUCCAAAGUCCCAUUCCAUACUUCUCUCAUAUGCCCGGCGGCCCUGAAGUGCCCCUUGACGGGCCAGCCACAGCCCGGAAUCCCACCGGGACGGCCCGACCCGUUUAAGCCAGACGGGGCCUGUCAAUUGUCCUGGCCCAUUGCAGCCCAGCAAGGAGAAAAAAAGAGAGUAAAUUACAAAAACCACCACAUUAGGGGUUAGGGUUUCACAUUGGUACCGGUCUACGUUUUUUUUUUACUAAAAACCAUCGAAUUGCACUAAGCGUCCAGUUGCUAGUGAAUAACCUAGAAACUGACAGGACCGGUCUGGUGGCAACCGAACGAUUAAGGAAAUCCGGUGGUAUUUAGUAAAAAAAAACGUAGACUGGUACCGAAGUGAAAUCCUAACCUCUAAUCUGAUGGUUUUUUUAAUUUACUCUAGAAAAAAAAAGCUAACUAGAUCGAGCCCGACAAGGAGAAAAAUUGAAAAAAUAAGUACUGUACUAACAAGGGGUUCAGCCCAGCAAGAAGUUGAAUAGGCUUACGUGCAUAUAUAACAAGGGUCUGUCUAUACUGCAGGCGCCUGAUUUUGGAUACCAAAUAGGCGCCUAGUUUUGAGCAAAAAACAGUCACCUGGUUUUGGACAAAAAACCAGGCGCCUGAAAAAACUUGUCAAAGUAGUCACCUGCUGGUUUCAGGCAAAAUCAGGCACAUAAAGAAUCAAAAGACAGCCAGAGAAACAAUUUCUGAUCGACACAUAACCGGUUUUUUGCUCUUUGGAUAAUUUCACACUAUGACUACUCAGAAACAUAAUUCAGACAAACAAAACCCCAGAAAAGCUUCCAUCCUCUUUACAACAGCCAAGAAUCGACAAAAAAAGGGGACGCCAAAUUACAGGUUUGCAAAUUCAAGUCAAAGACAAAAUGCAAUUGCGUGUCAUAUUACAAACGAUUGCACAUGGUGAACUAGGUGCAAUUGAGUACAAAGAGCAACAUUAACAAAAAUUUGUGUUGAUUAAAGCAUGCAUAAGUGCACUUUGUAAUGAACUAAAUAAUACCAUUGAUAAGUCUGGACAAGAACAAAAGAAUGUGGAGCAGAUUGAGUACCUGAUGGCGCAACCAAAAUCUGUAAGGAAAAGCUGCAAAAAUCUGGGGAUGCAAUGCAAGGAAGGGACAACUGCUAAUGUGUGGUUAUUUGCAGACUGCGCAAAAUUAAACUAUAUGCAAUGGACCAUGUUGAAACCAAAAAAUGUUUAGAAAAAGCUUACAUAGGAGGGAAAAAAGAAGUGUACCUGUCCAUUGGUUAUUGAAGUGGGCCUCUAGCUUCCCUUUCCAAAAAUUUAGACAACAUAACAAGAUCCACCUAACCAUCCUACAGAUACUGUCCCCCUGCAUGCCAGGUAAAAACAAUAGUAUGCUAGCUGAGUGACAAAUUCCAUGGAAUGAAAUAAAAGAUGCCUUGAUCUUCAGAAUUUGCAAUUUGAACAUAGGACAAAUUCAGAAGAAGAAAAAAAAUAGAAAAGCUUCCUUCCUUUGUGCAACAACAAAAAAUCGACAAAAAAACUGGGCGCCAAAGUACAUGCUUGCAAUUCCAGUCAAGGGCAAAUGCGAUUGCGCAUGCAUAGUGGACUAUUAAAAAAAAUCCAGAAAAGGGCAAGCAUUGUGAUAAUUAAAAAUCUGGAAAAUUUCACGUUGUGCCUGUCAUAAAACAGUAGACAAACAAAUGCAAAGUGCAUCUCAUAAAGACAUCGAAGGAGGCAGCUGAGAUACAAUUAGCGUGCAAUAAGAAAUACUGGAGAGCAAUUCUAGUAUCAAAAACAAAAUUGGCAAAAAGCUGAGAUGCAAUUCAAGAAGGACGCAGAUGCAAUUGCAUCUGAUCACAUACCAGAUUGCGCAAAGUGGACUACAUGCAAUUGCGAUGCAACUCAAGAAGGAAAAACUCAUAUGAAAAAUACAGAUUUGCCACAUAGUGCUUGAGAAAAUACUCUAGUGCAAUUCCUGUGUCUCACGAAUGCAAUUGCAACUCCUAUGAAACCUGAUUGCGCAUAGUUAGCUACAUGCAAUUGAGAUACAUACAAAAGGUGUCAGAUUUUGGUUCAUUACGCCUAUGAUCCACAUUAGAGUAAGUACACAAAGUAGGGACAAAAAGAGACAGAUUCAGCGUCUGGGCGUACAGUUGGACAGAAAUCAGAAUCGACACAAAAGUGCUUGAGAAAAAAUAAUACUCUUGUGCAAUUCCAAUGUCACACAAAAUGCGAUUGCAACUCAUAUGAAACACGAUUACGCGCAGCAAGCUAGAUGCAAUUGAGAUACAUACAAAGUGGUUGAUUUUGGUUCAUUGCGCCUAUGAUCCACGGUAGAGUAAGCACACAAAGUUGGGACAAAAAGAGACAUAUUCAGCCUCUUUUCUUAGAGCUGGGCAAAAAUCAGAAUCGACACAUAAACCUUGACAAUUACUCUUGUGCAAUCAGAAUAAUGAAUAAAUGCGAUUGCAAUCCAUAAGAAGCCCGAUUUCCGCAUAGUAAGCUACAUGUAGUUGACAUGAGUAAAAAGUUAAGGAUGAAAGCCACUAGUGGACAAUCCCAGUGACAAUCAAAAGCAAUUGCAAUUCAUAAACGCAUCCGAUUGUACAUGGUAAGCUAGAUGGAAUUAAAUAAGAUAACAAGAAGGGCCAAAAAUCUAGCUCAUGCAAAUAUGGGAAGGUGCACUUUGUAUCUAUGAUCUAAAAGCGGAAAUCGCAAUCACCGGAUAAGGGCCAAAAAAUAAUUGGAUACACAAAUACAGAAAGCAUAACAAAAGCAGGGCAAAAAAGAAGUGUACCUGUUCAUUAAUGCUGAUUCAAUUGGGGCUCUAGCUUCCCUUGCCAAAAAUUUUAGACAACUAGCAGGAAAGUUAAUAUGAACAUGCUCCGCCGACAACUCCCGUACCAGCAGCCACCAAAUUGUAAAGAACAAAACUCAAUAGAGAUGGUAACAGCAAAAUAAAUCAUUACACAACCAUUAAAGUCCCGGUGCUUUCACAGCGGCAUAUCUCUAAGAACGGGGUUCUAACACAACUAAGGGUGCAACUAACACAAACCAUUAGAGUAUUUUGGUUUCAAAAGCAAACUCCUUACAUAAUAAGCUAGAUAGCACAUGAUUUCAUCCAUGUGAGGUUACUUCAUAACAAGAUGCUCAUGGCUUCUUAACACAAACUACUAGGCGAGACAUUUGUUAGGUUUGUUGCAUAGGAAACAAAAAUUUCCUACG
rnacentral:lncRNA from 1 species